rnacentral:misc_RNA from 1 species
AAAAAAAAAAAAGGAAAAGAAGAGCAAUAAUAAAAGCAAGAGAAGGAAGAAAAGAUUUCUCUACUAUCAUUUAACAAAUUGGAGAAGAUCAAUCGGGGUAAUUAUUUGAUAUUCUAGAAAUAAUGAAGUGCUUUGAAACAAGGAAAAUCAUAUUAAAGAGAAGCUGAGUUCAGUUGCAAUUUAUUAUAUAAUAAUAUUCCCAAAUUUCAGACCAUGGUCUUGCCCAUAGCCACCGACUUUGAUCACUUCAAUUCAGAGGAUAGCAGCUUUUAGCCUUCUGCCCAACUCCUUCCUGCACACAAGCAAAAAUUAUGUGAUUAACAUCAAUUUCACCUUGAGUACUUGUUAUAGGAAGUUUGUUCUAGUUACCUGGUGAGUUCUCUGUCAAGGCCUGAAGCAGAUAAAAGUCCCCUAUUCUCUUCUGCCCUCCUCAGAAGGUAUGGUAUCGCCGUCUCCACAGGUCCAAAUGGCAUAUACUUGCUGACUUGAAAACCUGCAUUUCUUAAACCGAAAGAAAGUGCUUCUGCCAUUCCAUAAAGCUGUGCAAACUCGAGCUUUUUGUUCCAAUAUGCAAUUCCCAAAUCCUCUGCUUUUUUCGCAGCCAGACGCCCUGACUCUACAUUAUGGGUUGCAAGAAUGACUCCAUGCGAGCCAUUAGUGAUCGCCUCGAGCAGGAAAGAAGCACAGUCAUUGUAGCAAGCAUGUGUUUGCUGAAUGUUAUUGUGAAUGGGAGAUUGGUAGCCUAAGGAAGAGGCUAAUUUUCUUUCACUUGACAUAUAAGCACCCCUCACCAGCUUGAACCCCAUAGGAACUCCCAUCUUGUCUGCAGCGUUAGUUGCAAGUAACAAUCUCUCUUUUGCAUCUUUCAAGUAGGCUUGAAUUGUUCCAUAGACAAUAGGGUUAUCAUCUUUGUUACACUUGAUUGCUGAUGAAUAUGUAAAGUAAUCUACGGCAGGUUGAACUGUGGUGUGCUCUGCGUCGAUGACUAAUGGAAUGUUGGCCUCCACACAUGCUUGGCAUAGUUUCAGUAGCCUCUGCUGGCCUAAGAGGAGAUGUUGCUCCUCUUCUGGAGUUAAUGGAUCUGGUUUUUUGAGUGUGUGAUAUAAAGGGCUAGAAUCAGAGAAAAUUGGAAAUGUAUUCUCUUUCCAUGGAAGAUUGAAAGAAGGAUCUUUUUCUUGCCACCUUAAUAAGUCACUAACUCGCUCAAGCAAGUUGAGGGGGCAAAUUGCAGUGAUCUUUACAACCACUGAGCUCACCUAAUGGUGCCAAUAAGAAAUUAGUUUCAUAUAUACAAUGCAAACGUGCUAUCUACCAACAAGCUUUAAUAAUAUCAUAAUGGUUUGAACUUUGGCAAGUGGCAACCUCCUUUUUUUCAAAGCACAGAAAGUAUAUGAACUCGUCUAUUGUACAAAGUUGGAAAUUUUCAUACACAUUUGUCUGGGUUUGGAAAGAGACCUUGAAAGGACUUCUCCAAACAGAAAAUGUCAUUUUCUUCCUCAAGUAUAAUCGUAAGCCAUACCAUUUGUGUUCCAAGUUGCCACCAUUGUUUUUUUAUUUUUUAAUCUCCCUUUUUUUAAAGCGAUUUUGUUGCUACGCACACAAAGAUGAUUGAAUACAGCAAUAUAUAAAUCAUCUGAUACUGCAGAAGAUGAGAUUUGUGUCUAAUCUAAAGUUUAAUCACAAAAUUCGCUCACUUUCGAACUAAUUUUGUCCAGAAAUCACUCAUGAAAAAUUGAAAGCAAACAAAUUUUUUUGUUUUUAUUUUUCUAAUUUAACAGGGAUUCACCAAUUCACGCCAAAAAAAAAAAUGUGUAAGUCACAAAAUAUUAAUUAUUUAUAGAUCCCACAUACUGUCACUGUCAGAGGGUCCUACCUAGUAAAAGUCCUAAUAUUAUAUUUAUUCUUCUGCAACAUAGCCAGGGAUUGAAGAUUGAAAUAUGACUCGUGACCAGGUAGGAUCCAUAUCACACUUUUGCUGACGUGUGUUGGUGGAGUCCAUAAUAUUUUAUUGGCUUAGCUUACUUCACGGCUUAUUAGCUAUAAUAUAGCGAAACCAAGAAUUUAGAAGAAAUUUUCUUUACAAUGAAUUUUCUCACGAAACAAACAUUAGAAUCAGGGAAAGUAACUUUUCUAGGAAAUAAAAACGAAAAGCAAAGAAAUUAAUUGAUCAAUGAAUCUGCUUACAGAAGAUAGAGGGAGAGUCUUGGCUGUUUCAAUGGUGUCGAGAAAUCCAUGAAAAUUUCGAUCACAGGCAUCGUUAUCGCUUGUAAACUCCACAGCAAAAUCCAGCAUCCCUCUUAAACCAGACUCAUUGAGUCUCUUCAUACAGUUGGCUAACUCCACAGUAUUUUCUCCAGCACAAAAAUGUUCAUAGAAAGUAUGCCUUACAGCCCUAAAUAUAAGAUCACGUACAAUAUUAUCCAUACCCAUCAGCUUAGAAUUCAUAACCCACAUGCCAAAAUCAACCACCGGAUCCAUAGCAGCCAUGUGAAGGAUAAGAGAAGCAUGUAAGAGUUUUUUGGAGGACAGGGUAGCGAAGAGUUUUUGGUGAUCCUUGAGGUCGAGGGUAGAUGGUGGAAUGAUGGUGGUGGGUUCGGGUUUUUGGGUCAAGGUGAGGGAUGGAAUGGCGGAAAUGGAUGAGGAGGAGGAAGAGGAGGUGGAGGAGGAGGAGGUGACGAGAGGCCUAGUGAAGAGGGUGAGGCGUUUGAGCAGCUUUGUAGGAAGGACCUUGGUGGCCAUCAAAGGCGGAGAUGCAGAUUCUUACAGAGUCUAGGAAUUUUUGUUUGAAAAGUAGUAAUGGU